GACGAACGCUGGCGGCGUGCCUAAUACAUGCAAGUCGAGCGCAGGAAGCUCACGGAACUCUUCGGAGGGAAGUGAAGGGAAUGAGCGGCGGACGGGUGAGUAACACGUAAGGAACCUGCCCCAAGGAUUGGGAUAACUCCGAGAAAUCGGAGCUAAUACCGAAUAGUUCUUCAGACCGCAUGGUCUGUGAUGAUGAAAGGCGCUUCGGCGUCACCUUGGGAUGGCCUUGCGGUGCAUUAGCUAGUUGGUGGGGUAAUGGCCCACCAAGGCGACGAUGCAUAGCCGACCUGAGAGGGUGAUCGGCCACACUGGGACUGAGACACGGCCCAGACUCCUACGGGAGGCAGCAGUAGGUAAUCUUCCACAAUGGACGAAAGUCUGAUGGAGCAACGCCGCGUGAGUGAUGAAGGUUUUCGGAUCGUAAAACUCUGUUGUAAGGGAAGAACAGGUAUGAGAGGUAAUGCUCAUGCUAUGACGGUACCUUACGAGAAAGCCACGGCUAACUACGUGCCAGCCGCCGCGGUAAAAC
rnacentral:rRNA from 1 species